CGGUGGAUUAUACAAUGGUAUGGAUCCAACAAUUAACUACGUCCUGUGCAACGUAUAUACACGGGAUAGAUGAUCGUAGGUAGCCCAACACGUACGUCCGGUCGAAAGGCGAUUCUCUGCCUCUGGUUCUGGCUCAUCCUGCAAGUUUUCCAUGGGCUAGCUUAAUCAUGGGCGGACCAUGGGUCGGAUCCAUCUGUCAACUUCGACUUCCCUGAGCUGUCGCGGGCCCCGGAGGGCUCAAGACGUAUCUGGGCUCGUUUCCCAGGUCAUCAGGCACGCGCACCGCGGGCCGGGAGAGGCCGGAACUGCAUGCACAUCCUUGUUUUUUUUUAUAGCACGUCGCGGUCGCGCACCAGCAACGAUUGAAGAAAACCGCAACGAUUUGUUGCUGGAUUCCACGGCGCUUCCUUCUCUGGAUGGAUCGGGUGCGAAUGUGCCUUGUCGUCCUCGCCGAGAAAUAGAAUGCCUCGACGAAUGGGGGAGCUGCCUGUCGCGGCCACGCCACUCCUUGGUACGUACCGGUACCUGGUAGUAGCAGGCGCUAGCGUCACGCAACCGGAAGUCGAUACUCGUGAGAGCAUCCAACGAAUUCGUCUGUGCACGCGUCGCAUGGCGCCAAAGUGGAGCAGGGCCGAGCCCGAGCGCUUGCGUUUUUUUGUCGGCGGGCAGCGCUCUAGCCGCCUAGCCUCUAGUACAGACAGGCUACAAGUGCUGAAGUGCAGUACACCAGGUCAUGCGUCUGUACUGCGGCCUGCUCGCAAUGCUGUACCCGUCCAAUAGGGCACUAGUACGCUGCCCUGGCUCUUGUCGUCUGUCACCCCCAACGCUCAUGCCAGAUGUCCUCCUAGCUUAGGUUACAUUUGGGUUUGACAAAUUCGCUCCCUGCCUGGAAGUUCUAGAUGCCGUUUCCCUACGGGGCGUUCGCAACAGUCGAUAUCGACAUCGCCGCCGGUUGACUGCAGUUCAAUAAAAAAAGAACGCACUCUCUGGGUUCACUAAGGCUAAAUUAACACACGCACAGUUUCCUCUGCAUUGGUAUUGGUUAUCAGAGAGAAGUGGGGACUUGUAACCAUACGUACGCUCUCCCUUUGAGGCUCUCCGGCUAGCGAUGGUAUUUCUCACCCGUUUUAUUUCCUCACAUAGAGAUGUUAAUGGACCAUGAUAUAAAUAUUUCUUCACAAUAAGUUAUGACACUUAAUUAAUUUUAGUUUAGAACUGACAGAAAUAGAGUCCGGUCCGAAUCCACGACCCGUCCUUAAAACUUUAUAGUGUAAAAUCUAAAAUCCAUUACUACUCCUAUCUCCAAGUCAUUUCGAGCUAGCGAGUGGAUUGUCGAGGAAAGCCCUAAGGUCUAAGCAAGCAUAUCUAUCCUUAUCUCCAUGCUCGCUUUGUGCUUUGAAAGACUAGCAUAAAGAUUUAUGCAUAACCAUUGCAUUCCUCGCUUCCCGCUUUGAAAGGGUAGCAUAAGAUUUACAUAACCAUUUUAUUCUGAAUGUCAACCGGUAUCCCGAUACAUAAAUAAGAUAACUAUACUAAUCGUAAUUGAUUUUCUCUCCAUAAGGGCUGAUUUGGUGACCCGGGAUCACGGAAGAAUUGGAGAGGAUUGAGGGGAAAAUUAGUUCAUUUUCCCCUUAGGGCAUGUUCGUUUGCAAGGGAUUUAUUCCCCAAGUGGACCAAAUCCAAGGAGGGAUUGAGUGGAUCCCUCUCUUUCACUCAAUACCUUUGGGGGUUUAAUCCCUCCCUGGAUUUAAUCCUUCUCUCAAGAAUCCAUUCGGUUAAUCCUUAGCACAUUUGUGUUUGGCCCCGUGUGUAUCUAGUAUACCCGCUUAUUCAAGCAGUACAGCCAGUACAUCCAAAUAAUUUAUUCAAGCAGACUCAACCAUCAUUUCAGAAUUAGAAUCGAAGAAAUUAUCAUCUAGAUUCAGAGCAGACCAAAGCAUAGUUUUUUCAGUGUUCUUCGGACCAAAGCAAAGUUUUUUCAGAGGCAAGUCAGUACAAGCAACUCAAAGCAACAAGUUCAAACAAGUUCAAAUUGUAUGUUGUGCUCAAUGGCGUGAGCAUAGAAAGCAUAUUAAAUAGUCUAGUUUUUUCCCAUGAGGAGGGCACAGUCUGUAUUUCUUCUGCAGGCUCAGCUAAUCCUACUCUCUCAUCUGAAAUAUAUGGAUCAACAGUCUGCACAACAAGAAGUAAAUUUAGUAUAUCAAAUCAUCUAUAUCCUAAUAAGAUUGCUCAUUUGCUGCAACAAUAGUGAGUGGCAAAAGUGUGAUAUCCUGGCCCCUGGGAUGGGAUGUCCUGGCCCAAGGCUUAAUAGAAUUAAUAGUGUAAUCAUACCAACAAGGUGCAUUUUCUUUUUCGGAAGCCUAUCUCGAAAGAACCUCCAAGUUAAGCGUGCUUGGCUUGGAGCAAUUUGGGAUGGGUGACCGACCGGAAAGUUUUCUCGGGUGCGCAUGAGUAAGGACAAAGUGCGCACAAAAGACUCGUAUUGGUCUGUGGGGACAAUAUAUGAUCUUAGAGAGCUGCCAGGAGUAAGUACCGCCGGUCCAGGGAUUGGACGGGGUGUUAUCCUAGAGAGCUGCCAGGAGUAAGUACCGCCGGUCCAGGGAUUGGACGGGGUGUUACAAAAAGGUAGAAUGUAACCUGCAGAAUAUGUUAGUGGCCACUCUCCGAUGAACCCUCCUUUCAACACAGCUCUGUUAUCUAUCAAAAUAGUUAUCAGGUAGUCAAAUGUGAAUUCAGGUCCCCAUGCGUUAGUUAACAGUUAGCAUCGAGUUCCAAAACCGAACAAGAUGGCUGAUAGGUCCCCAUGUUCUGUGAAUUCAGGUCAAAUGUGAGAAACUAGUUUUUGAGAAGGAAGAAGUUGUGGCCGGUCUGGUUGAACUCAUCGUCUUGCAUAAAGUCACUAGGCUAGUAAUUUCAGCUGCUGCAUAUAGGCAAUAUUCAAGGUGAAUCUGACAUAAUUAAAUUCAUUUUCUGCACCAGGAACAGAAAUCAAACAGAAAGAUGGACAGACCCAAGUGUCGGACAGCAACAGAAAUCAAGCAGAGAGCUGAUCCAUCGUGCAAGAUUUGGUUUGUUUGCAAGGAACAACUGAUCUGCACCAGGUAAAGACUGCAGGCAGGCAUUCCUUUAGACAACUGACACUUGGUAUUUGCAGGAAUUGGGAUACGAAGAGAAAAGAGAAGCAUCAGAAGUAGAGGCAGCAGCCAGCCAGAAACCCGGGAAUCUACUGAAGCAACCUGUAGUAGCCGGCGAUCUACUGAAGCAGAUCUACUGAAGGCUGUUGCUGUGUCGUCUGAUCUCCGAUGAGAUGACGAUCUGACUAACUACCAGAACUUGGGUUGUAGUAGAUGAGCAAGCCGUCGCAUCUGCUCGGUCCGGCCGAUGCCGGUUGGCCAUCAUCAUGGUACUGAUUGACUGAAGAAGGAACCAUGAGCCGAUGGAUAGAUCUAUCCGCACGUUAGUCGUACGUGUCGUGUUCCCUGCCCUGCACGCCCGCCCGAUCUUCGCCGCGGUAGGCAGGCAGCAUAGCAGGUCACUGCUCUGCGCACUGUCUCCAUGCCAUUGUCCGCGGGCCAACCUGACGCGCGUUCUGUCAAGAAGGCGGCAGCAGCUUCUGUUUCCGCCGGCUCGCACGGUGCCGAUCAACUCAGAUAGCUAGACCGAUGGAUUCGGGAGCUGGCACCGAAUCUCGCUGGGAUUGAUCUAAGAACUCACCGUCGCCUGAGCAGUUGGAUCUAAGAAGAGACGCAAGAACCCUAAACGCCCUAGUUGAGACAGGGAGCAAGAAGAAUACCGGUGAGAAGCAGCCUCCGGAGGAGAUCGACGCCAGCAGGCGUGAGGAAUCCGGUCUCCGUGCCACAGUUGUCACGCGUAUGCGGCGUGCCCUUUGUGGCUGUUGCCCUAAUCCAUGAGCGGCCUAUUGCCUGCGUGCCUCCGGGAUAUUUCCCACCCCGCAGCGACCGGGCCUAGUUCCAAGGCCUGGGUGACGAGGAAAGGCCGGGAAGUAGCCCAUGUCGGGCUUAACCGAACGCGCAUUUCUG
rnacentral:lncRNA from 1 species